ensembl:lncRNA
GCUCUUUGAACUACUUGCUGGGUCAUGAGACAAAUUAAAGGGGUUCCAAAACGCUUUCUUGAAAAAGUGAUGCCAAUACCCAAAAGAUGGGGGAGGGGGAGGGGAUUAGCUCCAGGCAGGUGGGGCACCGUGAACAAAAGCCCAGAGAUAAGAGGAAAGGUAAGUCAGUCAAUGGACAUGAGUUUGAGCAAACUCUGGGAGACGGUGAAGGACAGGGAAGCCUGGCGCACUGCAGUCCAGAGAGCAAGACUCGAUUGAGCAACUAGAAAACAGCAAAGUCAUUCAAAGGCUGAAAGCACCUUCGAUGGGAAUAGAGGUCAAAACAGGAAGAAGCGAGAGGUAAGGCUGGGAGCUGGGCAGAGCAUUGGAAGCCGUGCAGAGAAAGUCUGACUAUGUUUCAAGUAACUGAGAACCACUGCAGAACAUUAGCGGAGGAGUCAACACGCUCUUUAAGAAAACCCAUUCCAGCGCCAGCAUGGAGGUCGGACCGGAAAAGGCGUUGCAGAGAGUGACUACUGUCAUUUUGCAGAAGUGACGGCAGAUUGGAUCCGGAGUUCUGGAAGCUGGAAAAUCCAAGGUCAAGGCAUCAGCAGAUUUGGUGUCUGGUGAGAGCUGGUGGCCCAGUGGUAAAGAAUCUGCCUGCCAGUACCGGAGAUGCAAGGUUCGAUCCCCAGGUCGGGAAGAUCCCCUGGAGGAGAAAAUGGCAAGCUGCUCCAGUAUUCUUGCUUAGGAAAUCCCGUGGACAGAAGAGCCUGGCGGGCUACAGUCCAUGGGGUCGUGAAGAGUCAGACAUGACUGAGCAGUGACUGCAC